AAGUCGAGCGGAGGGGAUAGGAGCUUGCUCCUUGAACCUUAGCGGCGGACGGGUGAGUAACACGUGGGUAACCUGCCCUUGAGAGGGGGAUAACAGGUCGAAAGGCCUGCUAAUACCGCAUAACGCUAAGAUGCCGCAUGGCGUCUUAGCCAAAGGUUAAUUCCGCUCAAGGAUGGGCCCGCGGCCCAUUAGCUAGUUGGUGAGGUAAUGGCUCACCAAGGCGACGAUGGGUAGCCGGCCUGAGAGGGUGGUCGGCCACACUGGGACUGAGACACGGCCCAGACUCCUACNNNNNNNN
rnacentral:ncRNA from 1 species